GCAGAGGGCAGUGAGGUCAGAGGCCCCUAGGGCCAGCUUAGCUUAGCCACCAAGAGGUCCUGUGGCCCUGGGCGGGCUGUCCACCUGCGAGCUGGCAGGGCUGGAUGCGGUGAUUUCUCAGUGCCCUGGCUGCAGCGGGCCAGGGUCCCGGGCUGCAGGCUUGGAGAUGCGGGGAGGCCGCACGAGGCAGACGGGCGCAACGGCAGGAGCACCUGCGAGCGAAUGAGAUACACCUGUCGGGAGCACCGAUCACAGCACCAACAGCUGUGAGGGACAGCCCCUAUGAGGAGGCAGCUGCGGUGAGGCCUGGGAGAGAAGCCAAACUGCCAGGCGCCUGCCAGGAGGACUCAACCCUCUCACCGGAGCGCCGAGAUGCCCUGGAUGGAUGGAAGUAAGGAGUCGACCUCCACCUUCAUGUCUGUGUGGCAAGAUGGCAGAGGGAGACCACAGGAAGCAUGACAGGCAGCUGACUCAUUACUCUGCAAACCUAAACUUCCAUGUCCCCUGGUUCAGGAGUUUCUCACAGGCCACGUUCCUCUCAGAUCCAUCUCUUCGUUCCUCUCCCUGCUUCCUGCCCAGGAGUGGCUGCAUUAAUGGGCACACUUGCCUUCUGCCUUCAGCUGAAGUUCAGUCAAUGGGAAGAGCUUCAAUGGGAAGAGCUCCAAGAAGACCAGGAGAGAGAGAGGAACUUGGGGUAUUUAUUUCCUGAUUCCUUUGUUGUGGAGUCACCAUGACGCAAGGACAUAGGCUCUGUCUGCUAAGUGGACCCCCUCAUCCCCCUCAUACUGUUUUUCCUGUCUCUGGAUUUCAGUAACCA